ACAGAGAAGGGAAGAGGGGGGUAUCCUGGGGAACUGCUGGACAUUACUGAGGCUGAAGACAAUGAACUUUCAGUUGUGGGAUCUUUUCCAGCAGCAUUCAGUUUUCAGAAUAUGAACCUAAAAAAAAGCAAACAGCAUCACUGAUCCCAGAUUUAGAUUCUGACAGGCGAGUAGAAUGGAAGGGAUGGAGUUAAAGAUACUAGAAAUAGACUGCAUGAAAUGACUGAUGGACCAAGCUAUCUGUCUAAGCUAGACUGGCUCUAAACUGCAUCAGAAAGUAAACUAACAACAGAAGAGGGACAACAUACAGAAAGAAAGCAGAGUCAGGAGACUGAAAUGUCAAGAAGCAGGGACAGUGUGACUGACUAAAUGAAAGAAGUUGACACUGAACUCCUGAAAAGACUACCUAAGUCGUUGAAAUGAGAAAACUACAUUAAUGCACAGACAGCAUUUUACUUCACCAACCUAUACCUUUGUAAGUGUAUGUGGAAAAUAAAUAUACAAGCCAGAUGAGGCUUGUUAGAAUGGGAAAGCCGUAUGAAUAAAAGACACGAAGUAACGUGAUUGCAACUGAGGAUAUCUUGAGGAAUUUUUCACCAUUGGCUAGUUACUUCGAAUGUAUGGAUAAUCAAAGGGCGACAGACCUCUAAAGAUUCCAAGUGUCUACUUAAAAGCUGUUAAGUGAAGAGUGAUGAAAUGGAGGACACCCACAAUAAUUCUUGGACUCCUGGAGAUCCUAAGACAUGCUACAAAAAUAGGUCUUUAUUCUUAGGAAAAUAUAGUCAGAGCUAGCUUCCUUAUGCUAUACAUAAAAUCUUAACAUCAGAGGCAGUACAGAUAGUACAGAUAGUUUUUGAACUGAUCUCCAAACAAGCACAAACCCACUACGUUGAAAAGAACAGGUAAUUUGAGGUUUUUGGCAAAAGACAGUACUUCACACAUCUAAUCCAAAUCAAAGGGCCUGCAGACAGUUUUCAGUGAGAUGAAAGGAAUGAAAUAAAUAUAAAUUCUACGGAUAAAUAAAACACAAUUUAAAUAAGCUAACAGAACUAAUUUUUUUAAAUAAAAAUACUAGUCAGGUACAAGCUUUUGUUUCUCAAUGCCAGACUUCUAAAUAUUUACCAGACUACUGUUAAUAUUAAAAACCUAAUCUUUGACCCAGAGCGUUAGUAAUAAUACUGGUUUGCAUCUGCAAAAUUUUCAAACUGAAUGCUUCUGGUCCUGAAAAAUAUUUUAGGUGUAUUACUGAAGGCAGACUGUGGUGCUAAUAUAAUUUAAGUCUUAAAUACUUUUAAAAAGUGACAGACCCCAAAAGUCCAUCUACUAAUGUGCUAGUUAAAAAAUGCCUGUGAGCACUGCUUCAUAAUUAGCAUCUUAAGAAAAGUAGUGGCAUGCCCUAUUGAGUGGUAUGAUCACUGAGUAAUUAAUACACCUUAAAACAAUAUCCCCACAAGUCUGUUUCUUUUAUGUAUUUGUCACUUAAUUUCUUUAGUCAUUAAUUUUACACCCACCAGUGAAUUCCUAUGGCCAGAUGAAAAUUUUGUGGUAUACAUAAUUAGAGAGAAAAUGAUCAUGGUGGGUAUUCCUGUAAGUUUUACGAACUUGAGAAGUUUUAGCACCCUCCCCUAAAUGCAUGAAGCCCUUCUAUUUAAUUUCUCUCCUUAAAAUAGAGACUACGUAAAAUACUCUGUAAUAAUAAGGGAUCUUUUGCUAUGUUUCUGACAACUUUUGGCUUCGCAGUCAAAAAAGCUGUUCUGAAUGUGUCAAUUUUUGCCUAUCUGGCUUGAUGUUCAUUCUGUUCUUUAAAAACUUUUAUAUACAAUAACUCAGAUCACCCCAUCAAUCCAUUUCUAUGUUGUUCCUAUUUUAUCAUGAGGAAACUUUACAUUUUAAGUCAGAUUCACAGUAACUGGUAGAAAAGUUUCUUAAGCUAAAACUGCAAUCAUGAGUGUACAACAGUUGUGUGUGUGCACACUCAAUUUUCCCUUCAUUUUUAACAUCUGAUUCAGUGGCAAUGGCUGAAAACCUUCCACAAAAAGCAUGCUUGGGAGAAUAUAUCUAACAAAAUUUUCUCACAAAGCAACUUUCUGAAAACUGAUAACCUAAAUUUAUGAUCACUUUUGAUUGCCAAGUAGUCUGCAGAAACAAAAUCUUGCGUCUGUUUUGGUUAGAUAACUUGUUUUCUUUUUAACAUCAGAAUGCUUUAAGAAUACAUUUUUUACCCCAAGGAAGGGACUUGACUCGGAUUUAAGACCCUUUCCUUGACAAUAUACAAAAUUUCUUUUAACUUAUCACUGUCCAUUCUUUGAAGCUGUCAAAGCCAAGAACCCAUAAACAAAUCACAAAUAGCAAUAACCUACAUUAGUUAACAUUCCCCCUUUAACAUGUUGACAUUUUUACUAAAGGAUUAGUUAUUUUUGCAUUUCCAUUUCUCAUAUCCCAUGACAUUCCAUAUAAAUUGCAUUAUUGCUUUAUAGGCCACACAACAUUCAAAAGUAUGUUUAUAUGCAUUGCCUGUUUUUCCUUGAUCUGAUAAGACUUUGAUACUGAUUUUACUACAGAAAUUUAAGUUUGAAAAUACCACAGUUAGUAUUUCUUCUCAGAACGUUAAUUGUUCACAUCACUAAUCACUACAUGCAUAUUUAGCUCUGAUUAUAUUGCUCAAAAACUGCACCCAUUAUCAGAACAGUGCAAAUGAUAUUUAAUUUUAAAAGUAAUUAUAAUGGCUUGAAUUCAAAGUCAUUCAAAUGAACACUGUCAAGUAAUUUCACUUGAUGUGUAUAUAUUUCAUCACCACUGUUUACAUUACCCUUUUUUAAGUAUAACCAUCAAUUCUUCACAAUUUCUUUUUAUCAGUUUCCCUCCCAAGUCCCCAAACUAAGAAUGCCAAAUAAUCUUGAAAACCCAGAGCUCCAUAUUUUAAUGUUUUCUUAAGAACACAUUUGUGAACUCACAAAAGUGUUCCUCUUUCAACUUUGACAAUGCAGUUCUUACUUUAAGUAAACAAACCUGUCCUAAAAUCCCAACAAGUAAUUCUGAGAACUUAAACACCUUGACAGUGUCCCUUAAAAAUGCUAUGACAGUAAAGUGCCAAUAGGCAUGGCAAUGACCUCUUAGAUGGGAUCAUUUAACUCCUCGGAACUGGGAAAUGCCAGCACCAAGGAUUACACUGAGAUUCAAUUUUACUGAAGGCUACAUUUAGUUUACCCACUUUCCACAACCUAUUAUAUUCAUUAUGUUAGAAUGAAAUGUAAAUGUUUUGUGUAGCCCUCAAACUUACACUAAGUUUUGAGAGAGAUGUACUUUAAAAAAGCACGGGGUAAUAUAUAAAAUCAGUGGCAGAAAGUUUCAUUAAGCACCAGGAACUAAUUUUUGUCACCCCAUACUCAUUUUGUAGAUAAGUUUCAAUAACCGGCAAGGCACAUUUACAUAUAUUCCAAUGAAUACUUAUUGACAAAUUUUAAAUUACACUCUAUGUCCCAGCUAUCCCAGUAACUGACAUACAACAUACUAAAAUGAUUUAUUUAGAUAACAAAAAACCAAUUAAUGUGAAACAUACAGGCUAUUGGCAACCACUAUUCUAAAAUUAUGUAAGUACAAAUAAACAUACUGAAAUGU